GAUGAAGAACGUAGCGAAAUGCGAUAAGUAAUGUGAAUUGCAGAAUUCAGUGAAUCAUCGAAUCUUUGAACGCACCUUGCACCCUUUGGCAUUCCGAAGGGUAUGCUCGUUUGAGUGUCAUUGUACUCUCACACUCUCCGAUCCUAUGGAUUCGGGGAGCGGUGGACUUGGGUGUUGCUGCCUUUCCCUGUGGCUCACCUCAAAUGCGUCAGUGCACCUCUUGGUUGGACAUAGUACGGCGUGAUAAGUGUCUUCGCCGGCACCUCGCAAGAGGGUGGCCGAUCGGGAGCUCUGCGCUUUCAAACCGUCUUCGGACAAUUUCUGACAUCUUGACCUCAAAUCGAGUAGGACUACCCGCUGAACUUAAGCAUAUCAAUAAGCGGAGGA
rnacentral:misc_RNA from 1 species